rnacentral:rRNA from 1 species
UACGUAGGGGGCAAGCGUUGUCCGGAAUCAUUGGGCGUAAAGAGCGUGUAGGCGGCUCGAUAAGUCUGCUGUGAAAGUCCCGGGCUCAACCCUGGAAGGCCGGUGGAAACUGUCGGGCUAGAGUCCGGAAGAGGCGAGUGGAAUUCCCGGUGUAGCGGUGAAAUGCGCAGAUAUCGGGAGGAACACCAAUGGCGAAGGCAGCUCGCUGGGACGGUACUGACGCUGAGACGCGAAAGCGUGGGGAGCAAACAGG